AUUGAACGCUGGCGGCAGGCCUAACACAUGCAAGUCGAACGGUAACAGGAAGAAGCUUGCUUCUUUGCUGACGAGUGGCGGACGGGUGAGUAAUGUCUGGGAAACUGCCUGAUGGAGGGGGAUAACUACUGGAAACGGUAGCUAAUACCGCAUAACGUCGCAAGACCAAAGAGGGGGACCUUCGGGCCUCUUGCCAUCGGAUGUGCCCAGAUGGGAUUAGCUAGUAGGUGGGGUAACGGCUCACCUAGGCGACGAUCCCUAGCUGGUCUGAGAGGAUGACCAGCCACACUGGAACUGAGACACGGUCCAGACUCCUACUGGAGGCAGCAGUGGGGAAUAUUGCACAAUGGGCGCAAGCCUGAUGCAGCCAUGCCGCGUGUAUGAAGAAGGCCUUCGGGUUGUAAAGUACUUUCAGCGGGGAGGAAGGGAGUAAAGUUAAUACCUUUGCUCAUUGACGUUACCCGCAGAAGAAGCACCGGCUAACUCCGUG
rnacentral:rRNA from 1 species